rnacentral:lncRNA from 1 species
CCUGCUCUCAGCUCUGGGCCCCAUCCUGGCUCAUGAGAUCUUAAGCACUGACCAGGAUUUCCUUUACCAUUUAUUUUGACAAUAAGUACUCCCCCCAACCCCCAGUGCCAACCUUGGCUUCCCAUUAAAAUCACUGAGAGAUUUUUCAAAAUCCUGUUGCCGAGCUGCAAUAUCCUGGCCAAAUAAGUGAGAUUACCAGAAGUGGAUCUCAGGCUCGGGCAGAUUGAAAGGUAUUUUUAGAGAGGAGAGUCUCACCUCACAGUAUUCCGUGAUAAUGCAAAAAGUCUCCUGCUCCACGAAGCUUUCGUGGAAUCUGACAAUGGUGGGAUGAUGGAGCCUGGAGAGGAGCUGAGCUUCCACAUUGGCCUGCACGGUCUCAUUUGGAUUUAAUUCGCCAACAGAGAUUUCCUUCAGUACCUUUCUGUGGCCAAAAAACAAUAAAAAGCAAAGGAAGAAACGAAAAAGAAAGAAAAGGAGAAGAAAGAAAGACAUCAAGAGUUGAGAAGUCUGUUUCUCUGUUGGAAGGACGUGGUACAGAACCCCUCACCAUGCCCAGGAAAUAAUCAGCUGCUCCAGGGCCUAGUUCUACCUGCUAUGGGUCUGAGGCCCUGGGUCCCUGCCUGUCCCACCCAGUACCAUGGUGCUCCACAGCCUCUGAAGGCCA